rnacentral:lncRNA from 1 species
UUUUUAAUUGACACCAAAGUUAGACAAUAAGUUUAACCACAGAGAUAUUUUUUGGUUUAUUUAUACCAUGUACCUCUUUGAAAAAAUCUUUUGUUUCUUUUGGAUUCACUAUCUCAAGCACCAAAACCCCAAAUCUAAAUACAUCUGAUUUUACCCAGAACACCAUCUAUAGUGUAUUUCGGGGAAAUGUAGCCAGUGCAUGAUAAAAAAUAAUAUCCGGAAUCUGAGUUACGAGAAAUAGAAGAGCGUUUCACAUAUUAUGGAUGAUUCUGAGAUGGGAAUCUUGAUGGAGAUGUUAAGCUGUCGAACUUAAGUAUCGUCGCUAUAAAGAGGCAAUGUGGAUUGAAAAGGGAUUGCGAUUUUUCUCUUAUAAACUUCUAAAUUAACUACAGUAUGUAGUUUCAUAUUGAGAUGAACCUCUAUUAAUGUUGCUUGUUCUUUUGUGUCUUUUUUCCUUGUUAUGAUUUUAGUGCUCUUAUUUUUAUGGAAUUAGAGUUUAUAAUUCUCAACAAGAGAUAUAUAAAACCAGGAGCAAUACCAUUGUUAAUGUACAAGCGCUUAUGCCAAUCAAGCGAUGCACUUUGCAUUGGAUCUGCGAAAACUUUUUCUCUGCUCAUGAGGAUAAUUUGUUUGUUGAAUAAUUGGAACAGAGAAAUCAAUCCCAGUAUCUAACAAUAAAUAUUCUCAAGCAUACUGUAGCAUGAAUCUGCAUGUGUAGAAGAAUAACUACGCUCUGUACUCUAUAAUACAACAGAUCGGAAAACUUUUGCUCUGGGAUUUGAAAAAUGAGUGCGAGACUUCAUGUUAUUAAUAUAAUUGGUACUACUGAUAGAAUGUCUGAGCUGAUUGUGCAAGCAGAAUCAAGUCCAGACUUCUAUUAGACUGGUGGUCAUAAACCAACAUCUUUUCUUCUCUUUGAAUGCAGACUCCUAGAAGUUUCAUGAGAUUUCGAUGCUGAAGUUUAGCUGAUAACUUCAUUCUUGAACUCAUCUGGUCCAUGGGGGGGAUUUUUUGACAGCAAUUUCCUGACCCUCCUAGAGCGGUCCCUAAAAUGGUAUUUGUUUUGCGCAAUGCCAGUUUACGAAUGUCGUCUUCCAUUCACUUUUUCACAUUUGACUUCGCAUGACUGAUUCCCAUGGCUAAAGAAUCCCAAUCCAAAGCUUCCGCAAGUUGAAACCAUGGUAUUAUAAUCUCCAACGAUUUGCAUAAUAGUUAUAAUAUCUGUUGCUUAAAAUAUUUUCUGGAUGGACAUAAAAAAGGUUAUGACAAAAAGUAAUGGGAAAUCUUUAUCUGAUAUCUUCAAGGUUCCAACUCUCUGUGGGGGAAAUCUUUGUCUGAUAUCUUCAUGGUUCCAACUCUCUG